rnacentral:lncRNA from 1 species
CACCAUCUGUUGAUGCUCCUUCAUCACCCCCUUCUACACCACCAACUACGGUAGCUCCUUCGACACCACCAUCUUUGGUUGAUCCUACGACACCACCACCUUCAACACCUCCUUCAACACCACCACCCGUUCAUGAUCCUUCAACACCCCCUUCCACACCACCAAUUGCGGUAGCUCCUUCGACACCACCAUCCGUGGUUAAUCCUACGAUACCACCACCUUCAACACCUCCUACCACACCACCACCAAAUCCUAGGACACCUCCUACAAAUCCUAGGACACCUCCUACAAAUCCUAGGACACCUCCUACCACACCACCACCAAAUCCUAGGACACCUCCUACCACACCACCAACAAAUCCUAGGACACCUCCGAAAAAUCCUAUGACACCUCCUACCAUACCACCACCAAAUCCUAGGACACCUCCUACCACACUACCACCAAAUCCUAGGACACCUCCUACCACACCACCAGCAAACCCUAGGACACCUCCUACCAGACCACCGACAAACCCCAGAACACCUCCUACCACAUCACCACCAAAUCCUAGGACACCUCCGACAAAUCCUAUGACACCUCCUACCACACCACCAGCAAACCCUAGGACACCUCCUACCACACCACCGACAAACCCGAGGACACCUCCUACCACACCACCGACAAAUCCCAGGACACCUCCUACCACACCACCACCAAAUCCUAGGACACCUCCGACAAAUCCUAUGAAACCUCCUACCACACCACCACCAAAUCCUAUGACACCUCCUUCGACACCACCACCAAAUCCUAGGACACCUCCUACCACACCAUCACCAAAUCCUAGGACACCUCCUACAAAUCCUACCACACCACCAACAAACCCUAGGACACCUCCUACCACACCACCGACAAAUCCUAGGACACCUCCUACCAUACCACCACCAAUUCCUAGGACACCUCCUACCACACCACCACCAAAUCCUAGGACACCACCGACAAAUCCUAGGACACCUCCUACCACACCACCACCAAAUCCUAGGACACCUCCUUCGACACCACCACCAAUUCCUAGGACACCUCCUUUUACACCACCACCAAUUCCUAGGACUCCUCCUACUACACCACCAUCAAUUCCAACAACACCGCCGCGUAAUUGUCCACUUUUAAGCUUGAAUGUUUGUGCCAACCUAUUGAAUAAAUUCGUGAUUAACCCAGGAUCCAAUCCUU